rnacentral:snRNA from 1 species
ACUAUAGAGUUUCUCUUCAUAUCGUAUAAAUCUUUUGCCUUUUACUAAAGAUUUCCGUGGAGAGGAUCAUUCACGAGUUUCUACCCAAUUUUUUGAGGCUUCAUUUCAGUGAGGCU